UGGUGCAAAAGGCAAACUCUUCCGAAAGGAGAGGACGCAAAGCCCCGGGUCUAAAGUCGCGAGAGCGACAAUGACAGCCAGGCUGCCUCC
rnacentral:ncRNA from 1 species